UUAAGCAGUGGAAGAUAACCCCCAACUUAGCCAAUUAAAUAAAAUGCCAUUUGGGCAGGACGAGUUGACAAUGAAGAGUGAAAGAACUGCAGCAGAUUGGAAGGAAGUUUGAUGCUCAAAUGAAGAGAUUAAUAGCAGAAAUUAACCAAUGUUAGGGUCAGAAGAGAAACAUCUACUGUACUAUCUAUGGCUGACACAGAGAGGAUAAUGUUAUACUGCACUGAGAUCAUUAUGUUCAAAAGAACCAUGUAAAUUCCAGGAGGGAUUCCCUUGACCACCGCUGUUCCAGUCUCGAUGUACAAUUCUACCGUCCCAUUGUUCAAUAUUUAGUCUGGUGAAAAAGGGAAAGAUGUCAAUAUUAUGCAGCAUAAGGAGGUGGAAAGCUCUGGAAAGUUCACACUAGGACAUCGUUUAUUUUCUGAUCUAAUGAACUAUUGUGUAAAAAAGAUGUCUGUUGAGUUACAUCCACUGCUAAAGUAUUGGUUUGUAUUAGAAAUUAGAUUGUAGCAUUACAUUUAUAGAGGUGUUCAGAUGAAUAUAACAUAACGUAACAUCAAUAAUUUUGGUACAAAUGGCAUUCUCUCUCUCUUUGUCGUCAUAAUAUCACCUCAGCGUCAUAGCCCUCUCCAUAACCGACUGUAAUAUAUUAAAAAUGUGCUGGUUGAAUUAAGCCAAAUUUUGCUUGCGCUUAGGCCUUGAUUUAAUCAGAUCAAGUGUUAACCGGCAUAGCGGAUGUUUUGACAUAUGUUGGAGGUGUCACUGCAGUAUGAGCUGACAAAUAGGUGAGAGGCUGCUCUUGUGUGUCACAAAACACUUCCUUCCUUAUUAAUCCUACUGAGUUAGAAGUUCAAAACGGCGAUAGAAAGUGUAGGUUAAUGCAUGUUUUCAUGUUCAUUUGGAUGGUGGGGAUUUAUAGCCUAUCAGUCAAAUCGAGAUAUAGACAAUGGAAACAUCAAGCAGUGUUUGAACUUGUAAAGUGGCUGCAUGGGAUUUGUCAGUUUCGUUGCAUCCAAUAGCAUGGUCCGAGAUAAACUAACACAAGGAGCUGCUUGUGGAUUUGACAGCUCUAACGCAGUUCCAUCUCCGACACACCAAAACACCGCUAUGCGGGUGUCUGCUAGUAUGUAUCUGCUAUAGAAUCUAGCCCUUAGUCAAGGCAGAUUAAUUGGGGAGGACGGGCUCUUAGUACUGGCUGGCACAGAAUAAAUGGAUUGGUA
ensembl:lncRNA